AUUAUUUAUUGCAAUGAUUUAUUGUCAUUUUCCGUAUAAUAUACGUUACGUUUUAUAAUGUUUUAUACUGUUAUAGAUUUACGUCUUUACGUAGAUUUACGUAGGGGUGAAUACAGGGGGUCUGGAUCUUCCACCACCAGACACUAAUAUAAUAUCAAUAAAUUAUCUAAAAUGUGGCAUUUAUUAAGAGAUAAAUUUGAAAUACAUAUAAUUUUUCGAGACCCUUCCAGAAAAAUGUUGGAAAUCCGCCACUGUCCUACGUAUGUCUUCCAGAUUU